UACGUAGGUGGCAAGCGUUGUCCGGAAUUAUUGGGCGUAAAGCGCGCGCAGGGGGCCUGUUAAGUGUGAUGUGAAAGCGGCGGGCUCAACCGGGGAGGGGCAUUGGAAACUGGCAGACUUGAGUGCAGAAGAGGAGAGUGGAAUUCCAUGUGUAGCGGUGAAAUGCGCAGAGAUAUGGAGGAACACCAGUGGCGAAGGCGGCUCUCUGGUCUGCAACUGACGCUGAGGUGCGAAAGCGUGGGGAUCAAACAGG
rnacentral:misc_RNA from 1 species